UUGGUCAUGCUUUAGCUUCUGUCAUGCACCCUGCUGAGUACCUUCUGGUGUAGCUUUGAGGUCUGAGGAGCAGCGGAAGGGGAGGUAAUGGAGGAAGUUGCACAUUUCUGAAGCUUCCUUGAGAGAAGAAUGUGCUUUUCCUCACCCAGAGAAAAGUCACUCCCUUCACAGCUGGGUGGGUGCCGGUACAUGUUCAGAGCCAUGACUGUGCCAGUGGGGCUGCUGCUGGCCCUGUUGGGCUACAUCACGGCACUGGACCCUGGACUGGAGGAGGCCUGGGAAGGGUGGAAGAGCCUAUAUGCCAAGGAGUACCCCGGGGAGGCUGAGGUCAUCCGCAGGGAGGUCUGGGAGAAGAACCUGCGGCGCAUUGAGCAGCACAACUGGGAGGAGUCGCAGGGGCAGCAUACGUUCCGUCUGGGCAUGAACCAUUAUGGGGACCUGAUGGACGAGGAAUUCAACCAACUCCUGAAUGGCUUCACCCCAGUGCAGCAUGAGGAGCCAGCACUGACCUUCCAGGCAUCGGCAGCUCAGAAGACCCCAGCAGAAGUGGACUGGCGGGUGAGAGGCUACGUGACACCUGUGAAGAACCAGGGGCACUGUGGGUCAUGCUGGGCAUUCAGUGCCACAGGGGCCCUGGAGGGACUUGUCUUCAAUUGGACGAGGAAGCUGGCAGUGCUGAGUGAGCAGAACCUCAUUGACUGCUCCCGGAAGCUGGGCAACAACGGUUGCCAAGGCGGCUACAUGACCCGUGCCUUCCAGUAUGUGCAUGACAAUGGUGGCAUGAACUCCGAGCACGUCUACCCCUACCAGGCCACAGACACCUCUAGCUGCCGAUACAACCCUGGGGACAGGGCGGCCAACUGCUCCUCAGUCUGGCUGGUGGCCCAGGGCAGUGAGGCAGCGUUGGAGCAGGCAGUGGCAACUGUGGGCCCUGUGUCUGUGGCAGUGGAUGCCAGCAGCUUCUUCUUUCACUUCUACAAAUCAGGCAUCUUCAGCAGUAUGUUUUGCAGCCAGACAGUGAACCAUGGGAUGUUGGCUGUGGGCUAUGGCACCAGCCAGGAGGGCAGGAAGAACAUGAGCUACUGGAUCUUAAAGAAUAGCUGGUCGGAGGUGUGGGGUGAGCAGGGCUACAUCCGCCUGCUGAAGGGAGCCAGCAACCACUGUGGGGUGGCCAACCAAGCCAGCUUCCCUCUGCUGUGAGCUCCUGCGCUGGAAGGAAGACGGCACUCACUAGGAUUGUUCCCCUGCCUUGCUGCACAGCAGAGCUUCCUCUCCACAAUGGUUGGUGAAAGGAGCUUUCUCUGCCCCUUUCAUAGAACCGCAGAAUGGUUUGUGUUGAGAGGGACCUAUAAAAGCCAUCUUCUACUGCUCUGCAAUGAACAGGGAUGCCUACAGCCCAAUCAGGUGCUUUUCCUUCCAGCUGAAUCUCAAAUGCUAGAGCUCUGAGAUUUUUGGCCACAACUGCAGCUCUCUAACCCAAACAUUAUCCCUCCUAGCCCAGCUCUUUAUAAAAUAACUACUUAUCAAAGCAAAUCUGCAUGACAAGAUGAAAAAAAACCUCGUAACUUCCUUCACCUCCCACUGCUUAUUUCUGUGUCCAUCAAAUACUGUGGGGAUUCACUCCCUAUGAGGGCAAACACAAGGCCCUAAUAAGGGGGAACACUGCACUGAAAUGGACACCUCAGGGACUGGGGAUG